AGAGUUUGAUCCUGGCUCAGGACGAACGCUGGCGGCGUGCCUAACACAUGCAAGUCGAGCGGAGAAAGUUCUUCGGAACUUUCUUAGCGGCGGACGGGUGAGUAACACGUGGGUAACCUCCCUUAUAGAGGGGGAUAGCCUUCCGAAAGGAAGAUUAAUACCGCAUAACAUUUUUGUUUCGCAUGAAAUGAAAAUCAAAGGAGCAAUCCGCUAUAAGAUGGACCCGCGGCGCAUUAGCUAGUUGGUGAGGUAAUGGCUCACCAAGGCGACGAUGCGUAGCCGACCUGAGAGGGUGAUCGGCCACAUUGGAACUGAGAUACGGUCCAGACUCCUACGGGAGGCAGCAGUGGGGAAUAUUGCACAAUGGGGGAAACCCUGAUGCAGCAACGCCGCGUGAGUGAUGAAGGCCUUC
rnacentral:rRNA from 1 species